UUCCAGAGGUAUAGGAGAGAGGGAUGUCUCUUUACAGUAGACUGAUAGUUCCAGAGGUAUAGGAGAGAGGAUGUCUCUCUACAGUAGACUGAUAGUUCCAGAGGUAUAGGAGAGAGGACUGUCUCUCUACAGUAGACUGAUAGUUCCAGAGGUAUAGGAGAGAGGGAUGUCUCUCUACAGUAGACUGAUAGUUCCAGAGGUAUAGGAGAGAGGGAUGUCUCUCUACAGUAGACUGAUAGUUCCAGAGGUAUAGGAGAGAGGAUGUCUCUCUACAGUAGACUGAUAGUU